rnacentral:rRNA from 1 species
GCCCAGACUCCUACGGGAGGCAGCAGUGGGGAAUAUUGCACAAUGGGGGAAACCCUGAUGCAGCGACGCCGCGUGGGUGAAGGAGUGCUUCGGCAUGUAAAGCCCUAUCGGCAGGGAAGAAGCAAGACGGUACCUGACUAAGAAGCCCCGACUAACUACGUGCCAGCAGCCGCGGUAAUACGUAGGGGGCAAGCGUUAUCCGGAUUUACUGGGUGUAAAGGGAGCGUAGACGGCAUGGCAAGUCAGAUGUGAAAGCCCGGGGCUCAGCCCCGGGACUGCAUUUGAAACUGUCAGGCUGGAGUGCAGGAGAGGUAAGUGGAAUUCCUAGUGUAGCGGUGAAAUGCGUAGAUAUUAGGAGGAACACCAGUGGCGAAGGCGGCUUACUGGACUGUAACUGACGUUGAGGCUCGAAAGCGUGGGGAGCAAACAGGAUUAGAUACCCGGGUACG